GCCUAGUGGCCCAGUGGUGUAGUGCGUAGUGCCUAUGUCUGCCUUGUUUCCAAUCCAGCUUGCCCAACCUUAAGCUGAAAGCCCUUGGUUCGAAUCCAGUCUAGUGCA